rnacentral:lncRNA from 1 species
AGCCAAAGUUUGCAUGGUGAAUAGCUUAAAAAAAAUAGGCUAAUUUUUUUUAUAGCUGGUUGAAUGUAGGGAUUACCUUACAACACUGAGUUUGGGUUUUUUCUGACAGGUAAGUGGUGAGCUGAGGAAUGAGAAGUGAGCUUAUCACCACAGAAUAUCAUGCUGACUGGAUGCAUUGCUGUUGGGAGACUGCUGUGAUAACUCAGCAGUGUGCCCAGUUGCUAAACCUCAGCAUUCCACUAAGAAACAUUAAGGCCAGCCUGGCUGACUGUCCUGGCAAGUGCUUUGUAUUGGUGAAGCUGAGAAGGGGAUGUUCUGGUGGAGGAAUGCCAAAAUUUCUGUGAGUGAAAAGCUGUCCUUGUGAUGAAAGAAAGUCUAGUUUUUUUCUGUUUCACAGUUUCUUAGUUUCUUAAACCCCAUAAAUAGUUACUGUGAAUAGUAAACAGAUCUAGUAUUGCAGGUAGUAAAGACCUUUAAAUUGUGGUCAAACUCCUAAAUUGUCUUAAAAUUUUGGACUCAGGAAUAUUCCAGGACAUACAAGUCUCAUGAUAACAUGGUACUUAUAGAGAAAUAGAAGAAAAAAUCACAGACAAAGAGACAUUACCAAUAAUGGUUACAAGUAAGAAAUGGGAGAACUUUCUGCUCUGGAGCAUAUUGCAUCUCCAUACAUGUCUUCCAAAAAGAUACGCCUACAUGUUGUUGCUCUUUUCAAAGGGAAGACAGAAGGGAUGGUGAGGUGUGUUUACAAAAUGAAUGGCCAGAACAUAAAUGUCUGUGUGCUGUUCUGUGUGUGCCUUACACCCUGCUUAUGCUGUAGCAGUUAAUUUGAAACAACUCUGGUGAUAACUGAUACCUGUGUGGAGAUUUGUGUUGGAUGUGACCAACAAAACUGUUGAUUUUCUGCAGGACACACCUCAGUUAACCACUGGGAGCCAGCAUGUUUUAAAAUAGCACAGCUGUUGUCACUCCUACCUCAGGGCAAUACUGUGUUUUCACACUCUUUUCCUUGCUUUAAGACAUGUCAGUUCUCACUUUUUUAACAUGGUGCUUUUCUCUAGUGUAGACAGGACCAAAGUAGUAUGUGGUUGAUUUUAGAAAUGUUCCUGUAUAAAGAAUACACUUUCCUCAUCCUUUUUCCUUUUCUUUCUCCAAUGUUUUUGUUUUGUUUUUUAAGGUUUUCCUGUAUGUUCUCACGUGCAGAUCAUGUAAAGUCACUUCUCCUUUUCAGCAGAAGGGGAACAUAAUUUUUAUUGUGCAAGAAAGAAUAAAGGUAAGGUUCCCUGAUAACCUUACCUUGGA